rnacentral:rRNA from 1 species
UCCGGGGGGUGCGAGCGUUAUUCGGAAUUAUUGGGCGUAAAGGGCGCGUAGGCGGCCUAGCAAGUCUGGUGUGAAAGCCCAGGGCUCAACCCUGGAAGGGCACUGGAAACUGUUAGGCUUGAGUUCCGGAGGGGAGGGGGGAAUUCCCGGUGUAGCGGUGAAAUGCGUAGAUAUCGGGAGGAAUACCGGUGGCGAAGGCGCCCCUCUGGACGGAAACUGACGCUGAGGCGCGAAAGCGUGGGGAGCAAACAGG